CCACCUGACUGCUCAUUUCUGCAAGCAGAAAGCAGCUUUUCAAAAGUAUUCUGGUGUCACAGAGCUUUAUAAGAGAGCUCAUGUCCUUGAUGCGCUGUGCAAGCCUGUGACAGCAGUAUCUGCAGACAGAAGGUUUGGACUGUGCAAUCUCCUAAAGGCAUCGUGAGCCAGAGCAGGCAGCUGAGGGCUGCAGCCUGGAGAAGCUGUUUUGGACAGGGACAUGGAGGGGAGGACUCCAACCUUUUAACGGAGAAAUAAACUGAUUAU